CAGAAUCCACCGAGGUGCUUCUCAGACUUGUGAAAACAAACCAAUGGACUCCAGUAGAGGCAGUGACUCUACUCAAAGCGUUAUUAGAGAAAUAUGCAGAGGAUGCCCCAGUCACUGAAGUGCUCACAUUGGUACAAAUGAAUGAUGUAUCACCAGGAUGGACAGAUGACUCCAGACACUCUCUCAUCCAGGCUCUGGAUUCUGUUGGCCCUGAGAGAUUCCCACAGGAUUUCCAAAGGACUCUCAGAAAGCAAGAUAAGAGAAGUCUAGAUUCAGCUUUAGCAGAAUUGAAAACAUUCAGGAAUUUAGACGAUUCUGUGAUUGAUAUGAUAAAUAACAUUAUCACUGGUGUCUUGCAAUAUUCAGAAAAUGCACCAAAAGAUGAACCAUUCAUGAAAGAUUCCUUUGAAUUUGCAAACCUCAAUGCAGAUGAUAUCAAAAACUUUCUGUCUCAGCUCUGCAAAGCAGUUUUUGACACAAAGUGCUGGUGGCCCACAGUGCAACACAUGCUGAGAUGGUGUGUGUUGGUGCUGGCUGAGAAGAGCCAGGCAUCAGAACUGGUUGGUGUGGAUGAGGAUCCGUGUGUCACAGCCAUGUUUGUGGCCACACAAGUCUGCAUGGGAAACAAACUGGACAUUGUGCUAAGCUCUGACGUUCACUCACAUGAGCAAAUUAAGGAGUGGGCUGACUUCUACAAGCACCUUGGAAUUUCUCUUAACACAAACAUGAAUAAAAGCAGUGUGUCACAGAGGGAAAUCUAUGAAGCUGACAUUGUGUAUGGUACCAUGGAUGACUUUGUCUCAGACUACUUUCAGUAUGGAUUAGAGAUGAUGGAAACCGGGUAUCCUCACCUUAGCCGAGGAUUUAUCAUUGCUGAAAGAAGUCUCAGCACCUCCUACAAUCUGGAACUUUCAAAGCUCCAGGAAAUUGAUGCCCUGGUGUCUGCUAGAGAGACCCUGCAAAGCCUCAUGGAUAAUUUUCAAAGUGAGAAUAUUGAACUGAGAC
ensembl:lncRNA